rnacentral:rRNA from 1 species
UGGGGAAUAUUGCACAAUGGGCGAAAGCCUGAUGCAGCGACGCCGCGUGAGGGAUGACGGCCUUCGGGUUGUAAACCUCUUUCAGCAGGGACGAAGCGCAAGUGACGGUACCUGCAGAAGAAGCACCGGCUAACUACGUGCCAGCAGCCGCGGUAAUACGUAGGGUGCAAGAGUUGUCCGGAAUUACUGGGCGUAAAGAGUUCGUAGGCGGUUUGUCGCGUCGUUUGUGAAAACCAGCAGCUCAACUGCUGGCUUGCAGGCGAUACGGGCAGACUUGAGUACUGCAGGGGAGCCUGGAAUUCCUGGUGUAGCGGUGAAAUGCGCAGAUAUCAGGAGGAACACCGGUGGCGAAGGCGGGUCUCUGGGCAGUAACUGACGCUGAGGAACGAAAGCGUGGGUAGCGAACAGG